AAAAACAGCGUGGACAAGAGGAGUACUAAUAAGUCCGGUGGUACCUCUAAUACAGUGGGCGCACAUAUGGUCAGAAAACACAGACACGAAGUCUCCACAAGACCGCCUGCGAGUAUCUGUGGAAUUAAGAGCACGAGAGAGAUGACGAGAUCGCACAUGCGGAAUAACCGAGGCAUCCUCAGACAGCUGAAAAAAAUUCUCCGUUAGGUUGCAAGCUAGAAAAGUACUUCCUUCAUUCACUUUCUGGAGUAUAUUCCAUAUACUUAAAUGCAACCCUCUUGCGUCUGUCACAUACAAACAUUGGCCCUUGACCACCAAUCCCAAUAAAAAAGUUCCCAAAAACCAACACACCUCGACAAACAACACUAGGAGGCUGGCUGUUAUCGGCAUACUGGUUAGUAACUUUGUGUCUCACCAGUACACUAUAUGCUCAUCUCCCCCGUCUUCGAGAAUAAUAACUUUCUGGAAUGUCAUGUCCCACUUCUUUCGUAGUUCCAAGUUUGAUAUGAGUUGGAUAGCUGCAGAGAAGAAAAAAUCAUCAUGGUGAAAAUAUGGCGAGACGCGGAUCAUAAAUAAUUGUAAGGUAUAAACACAAUGACCCCUAAACCGGCCUGUACCGGCUUUGGGAAGUACCCACAACCCAAAAAUUUACAAA